GGGCUCCUCGCCCCCUCCCUUGGUCGCCGGCUGUUGGUCCUUUUGUCAGUCUGCGUCUGGGGAGGGGGCCAGGGGCUC
ensembl:miRNA